GACGAACGCUGGCGGCGUGCCUAAUACAUGCAAGUUGAGCGAUGAAGAUUGGUGCUUGCACCAAUUUGAAGAGCAGCGAACGGGUGAGUAACGCGUGGGGAAUCUGCCUUUGAGCGGGGGACAACAUUUGGAAACGAAUGCUAAUACCGCAUAAUAACUUUAAACAUAAGUUUUAAGUUUGAAAGAUGCAAUUGCAUCACUCAAAGAUGAUCCCGCGUUGUAUUAGCUAGUUGGUGAGGUAAAGGCUCACCAAGGCGAUGGUACAUAGCCGACCUGAGAGGGUGAUCGGCCACAUUGGGACUGAGACACGGCCCAAACUCCUACGGGAGGCAGCAGUAGGGAAUCUUCGGCAAUGGACGAAAGUCUGACCGAGCAACGCCGCGUGAGUGAAGAAGGUUUUCGGAUCGUAAAACUCUGUUGGUAGAGAAGAACGUUGGUGAGAGUGGAAAGCUCAUCAAGUGACGGUAACUACCCAGAAAGGGACGGCUAACUACGUG
rnacentral:rRNA from 1 species